AGCGAACGCUGGCGGCGUGCCUAACACAUGCAAGUCGAACGUGAAAGGGAGCAAUCCCAAGUAAAGUGGCGUACGGGUGAGUAACACGUAGGUAAUCUACCCCAGAAUCUGGAAUAACCGGCCGAAAGGCUGGCUAAUACUGGAUAGAGCGACGGAAUCCGUAAUUGGGUUUUUCGGGAAAGGGAGCCUGUAAAAAGGCCUUCGUUCUGGGAUGAGCCUGCGUCCCAUCAGCUAGUUGGUGAGGUAAAAGCUUACCAAGGCAAUGACGGGUAGCUGGUCUGAGAGGACGAUCAGCCACACUGGAACUGCAACACGGUCCAGACUCCUACGGGAGGCAGCAGUGGGGAAUCUUGCGCAAUGGACGAAAGUCUGACGCAGCAACGCCGCGUGAGUGCAGAAGGCCUUCGGGUUGUAAAGCUCUGUCGAGUGGGACGAAAAUGCUUGGAGUUCACAGCUCCAGGAACUGACGGUACCACUAAAGGAAGCACCGGCUAACUCCGUG
rnacentral:rRNA from 1 species